rnacentral:lncRNA from 1 species
UCUAUUACAGAUGUGUGGUUAACAGAAGUUAAGAAUGGAGGAAGGCAAGACGAUGAGUGGAAAGUGAAAGUGGCUUUCAAAGAACAAGCCAGGAGUCCUUGUGGUGAUGGAGAUGUUCUGUAUCUUGACUCUUCAAUGAUAAUCUCCUCAUUGUGGUAUCACUCUGGAUCUACAGGAUGCAGCCACUGGGAAGAAUAUGGGUCUGCGUGAAUCCCGGAGCAGUGUUCUCAGCUGUGACAGCAAAGUGGGAUCACCCGGAGAAACUGGAAGAACAUACCGAAGCCUGUGCCCCACACCUGGGGAUCCUGAUUGAAAGCAGAAGCAAAGCCAUCAACUGGAGAAGAAGCUGUUGGAUGUUUGAGAAGAAGACAGCUAUGUAA